UGGAACUACGGGGCGGGGCGGCCCCCGGAACCAAAGAGCGCGGUCCGGCUGCCGCCCGGCCCCGCGCGCGGCGGACGGAGGCGGGAGGCGAGCGGCGCGGUCCCGGCGGCGGGAGCCCCGCUCGGGGCUGCGGGACCCGGCCCGGUGAGCCCCGCUCGGGGCUGCGGGACCCGGCCCGGAGCUGCCAUGGCCCACAGCCGCUCUCGGAAGCGAUCGCGGAGCAGGAGCAAAAGCAAUUCCCGGAGCAGGCAGGAGAGGAAGGAGAAGAAAAGGAAGAAGAGCAGCAAGGACUCGUGCCAGGGCAGCAGCUCUCCCCCGAGGAAGAGGAUCUCUGGCUCUCACGGACACAAGUCGAGCUUGGCAGCAGCCAGGGAAGAAAAGAAGAAGGAAGGAAAGGACAAAAAGAAGAGGAAGGCCAGUACCUCGUCCUCUGGGAAUUCUUCAUCCACCAGUUCUUCCUCAUCUUCGUCUUCCUCCAGCUCCUCUUCUGAUGACUCCAGUGACAGCGACUCCAAAAUGAAGAAGAGUCAAGACAGCAAAAAAAAGCGAGUGAAACAGAAAGACAAAAAGAAGAGGAAGAAGAAGAAGAAAAAAAUAAAGAAGAAAUCAAAAAAGAAGGCAAAGGAGAGGGCUAAGGAGGAGAAAGCCAAAGGAGAAGAGGUGCCUGGCCCCUCGCUGGAGCAGUGGCAGAAGGAAUCAGUGGUGGACCCUGGGCCAGUUCUGACAGAUGAGCAGAAAUCCCGGAUCCAGGCUAUGAAGCCAAUGACAAAGGAGGAGUGGGACGCGAGGCAAAGCGUCAUCAGGAGAGUGGUAGAUCCCGAAACAGGGAGAACCAGGCUCAUUAAGGGGGACGGGGAAGUCCUGGAAGAAAUUGUCAGCAAGGAGAGACACAAGGAGAUUAACAAGCAAGCCACACGUGGGGAUGGGCUGGCCUUCCAGGUGAGGACGGGGAUGCUGCAGUGAGGGCAGGCACCAGCCAGCCCAGGAGCCCCUCCUGCUGCCCCUGCCAACCCAGGGAGCCUCUGCCUCUGGACCAUGCAGACAGCACCAAGCCAAGAUGUUCCCCACGGGCCCUUUCCAGCUGCUCUCAAUAAAGAUCCUGCUCUACAAUUGCUUCUCCGUGUUGGAUCCGUACAAUGGCAACAGAUGGAGGGUCAGGGAAAAGUUCAAGAAGCUCAACAAAGGACGAGGACAGAGGUGCUGUGAUUGUCAGGCUAACUGGUUAGGAGCUGUUGGAAACAUGAAGUGAUGGAGAGGGUGAGUAUCAUAUUGCACUUUGCAUUCAUUGACAGUUACAUUAAACUUGGUCCAUAAAAUAAUUGCUUUGUACAUAAUGCCUGAAACAAAAAGCUACAUUUUUAAAAUAUUAAUAAACCCUGAAGGUUCCAGUCCCUCCAGACAUUUUUUUCCUCUACAUAAAUAAAUAACUUUCCAUUUUAUAUAUCCACUUUUUAUGUUGAACAUUUACAUUCGCUUCUGUUUUACAUUAUCUACACAUAAGAAAAUGUGAACAUCUCAUCAACACUGGAAAAUGUACAGAUCAUGCCUCAGUUCUGGACUUGGAGGAAAGGUGAAUUUUGCAAAGGCCAUAUCCAAAUUUGCAGAAAUUAUUUAGUGAUGUGGUUUGGUGACUUCACAGGAUGGAUUGUGGCUUGGCUUCCUACUCAGAUGGCAUCUGUUUGAUAGAACAUUCGGCUAGCAAAAAAGCUGGGACAAAUUCACAUUAUUUUCAAACUCAGUAAAAGCUCUGGAUGUACAUUCAGAGAGAGCCAAGCUGAGUCAGCAGAAAGGGAAGUCAGUUUCUGGUAACAAAAAGUCAUCAGGUACAUUCUGUAAUUGGCUAAUUACCAAAGAGAAGUGGUUAAACGCUUUGCAGUCGGGUCUGAGCGCUCCAGGGGCUCGGAUGCCGGCGGCAGCUCCGCACUGUCCCUGCUCUGCCUCGGCCUGGACCCUCCACACCACGAACACAUGAGCUGGAUGGGUUGGAUUUGUCUGCCAUGGCCCAGAGGCAGUGAGCAGAGCAGCGUUCACAGUGCUGUGUUAUCUCAGUGCGGCCGUCCUGCACCGUUCUUAUUGAAACUGGUAAGAAAAUGAAGCAGCCAGUCUAAAAAAUUCUCUUAUAAAUAAGAUCCUCGUAAGUAGAAAGUGAUAUAAAGACAGGAAAGUGUGGUGGGGAAAGCAGGGAGCUUUACACACAGUUGGGGAGCUCGGUAGGACUAUAAAAUCUCCAUGUGAAGAGGCCAACUGGAGUCUAUGAAUGGGCACCCUAGAACCCCCUGUGUGGAUGCCCCUCUGCCCCAGGAGGUGUGUGCAAGGAGGGAACCUUUGCUGGCCCCGGGAGGGACAGGACUGAGGGGCUUUUAGGCAAGCCCUGGCUCCAGGCACUAUUCUCUGUCCCUGUCUGGGUGUCACUGGGGUGCCAGCCCUCUGCCACGCGCCUGCCAGCUCGCUCCAGCAGCACAAACCCAGUGCCUCAGGCACAUCCACUGAGAAACACUCCAGAAAAAUUAAGAUAUGGCCUUUUCUUAAGGUUGCCUGACAUUGUUGGCAUACUUCCUUACAGUCUCCUUACUGCUGGAAAAACUUCUGCACAGAUUGUGUUUUUUUAAAUAUAUACAUAUAUAUAUAUAUCUGUGUGUGUGUAUAUAAGUAUAGAUAUCCACACACACCCUGGCUUAGCAAUAUUUCAUUGUCAUGCACUACAAACACUGGUGUAGCUACAUGAGAUGGUAACAGGUUUCCAUUCUAAAAAUCAUCAGUGCAAAAAACAAUGAGGUUUUACAGUUCAGUAACUAUAGGUAAAAGAAGCAACUCUAGUUCCCAUGAAAGCUGCUACUGAACUUGGAGAGAACCUGGGAAGAAAAAAGGUCUCAGAGGUGGGUGUUGAGAGUCAGACCCUGCAUUUGGAUGAGAAGAACUGCAAUGCAAUCCAGCUGCUGAGUGCCUUCAGCUGCUUCCAAAUAUAUGGUGGUUACUUGUUGGAAAUAAUACAUAGCGAGAUUAUUUGGAGACUUUAACAGCAAAUUAAGUGUCUGAGGUUUGUAACAGCUCAAACAAAAUAGCUUGUAUUCCUUUUUUAAUAGGUCAACACAUUAAAAGGUCUCUUUAAAAAAUAACAGUAAUAACAAUAACGACCCUGCUGUCUUGGGCAUGAAUCUGCUGUCAUUCUGCCUCUGCCAAUGGCAUCGAUGCAGCUUCAGCUUUGCACUGCACCAGCUCCUCGAGAAAGUGGCUGCACGUGGAUCUCUCUGUCCAGGAAAAGCUGUUGGUCGCUCUGCCUGGCACAGCCCACGACAAAUCCCUCUCUGGGCCGGGGGAGCGGCGCGUUACCCAACCCCAGAGCCCCCAGUCUGACUCCUGGGACAGCCCAGAACAAGCUCCCUCAGCCUCAUGCCCUGUUCCUGUGGCUCUGAGGACAGCACUCGGUCACCGUGUUGGAGCGAUGGCUAACAAGGCGAGGAGGAGGCACGUAUUUACAGUCACUGACCCUGGAUGAGAGAGAGAAGGAGGCAGGAGAGAGCGCCGUCCUGAUCUGGAGACUUCCCCCCCGACUUCAGCUGUUCCUCGGGCUCACGCUGCACAAACCUGACGCUCCCGCUGCAAGGCCUGCACGUUCUGUGUGGGAACCAUCCCAUCUCUUCCCAGACCACCGUGUUAAUAGAGUAGCACCAUAUUUACCCUUCCAGCCCGAAACACUGGCCUCGUCCCCCUUUCCUUUUUGUUUUCUCCUCCGGUGGCUGCAGCUGACGAUCCUGG